AGUGACCCGUCAUGAGUCUCACAUCGAAAGGACCUCUGUUCUUGAGAGUGAGUGUGCCUGAAGGAUUGGAUGCGGCACUCGAGGGCCUUACACGUGAGGUUCUGAAACGCCAGCCCAAAGACAUUUACUGGUUCGCGGCUCAGCACUUCGAGAAACUUGUCAAAUUGCGGGACAUGGGAGCUCACAAUGCUGGGCUAUCACCAUCGUCUACGCAUGGCUCAGAGAAGGCAGGCAUACCUCAGGAUCCCACAGCCGAUGUUGCAAAUCUGGUUGACAGCCCAGAGAAAGAACCACUGGAUAUUACGGACCUACAGAACGAUGAUGCGCUGAACCUGACCGAAAAGCAGAACGAAUCCGCUCCAGAGCUGAAUGGUACACUGAAAGCAGAUGAUGGUGAUGCUGGCAAACUGACUGCCGCUGCAACUGGAACAGCAGCUGUCAUAGGCGUUGCUACCGGCGUAGCUGUUGUGAACACUCACAACGAAGACUCAAAAGAAAUUCUGGAAGAGACCGAGGCCGUCACGCAGAGUGGCAGUGCUAGUAUUUCUGUUUCUCCAGCGCCUGCGGACAGCGAGGCGGAUACUGCUGAAGUUACUGAAGAUGGCGAAGCGAAGUCACCUUUAUCAGUGAAGUCUGGGCGUGAAGUUGUGGAUGUUGUCAUUAAAAGUGGUGCUAAGGGAGAACCCGAAGACAGCGGGUCUGUCUCAACACUUAUACCUGAAGACACCCCUAAAUCAAGCGUAGAAAGUUCGAGAGAACCAGUGCCUGAAGAUAAACUAUACACUGCCAAACUGGAUGAAACUCCCGAACAGGGUAGCAGACCAAGUGCCUCACAAAUUGUUAUCAAUGAGGAUUACGUCGAUUCAAAGUCAACAAGUGCCGGUGUCGCCGGGACCAGGCCAACCAGUGCCUCAUUAGUAGAAGGAGAACCAGUACCUGAGCAAAAGCAAGGAGUGGAAACGAGUUUAUCACCUACCGACAAGGAAUCCCCUAGUAGCAGACCUCAGAGUACUAUGGAGCAAGGCACAGAAUCACCUGAAGGCAGCCGUCCCUUUAGUGCCACAGAAACAAGAAGACCAGAAAGUUCGAUAUCACUUUCGAAAGAUGAAGCAGAAUCCGCUAUUGAAGCCACAGAAGUUGCACAGGUAGACUCUCUUCCAGCGUCCACUGGCGAAAGUGUGGACAGACCGGCCAGUGGUGCUCAGGAGACUGAGGAAACAAAAAUGACUAUAGGUUCUGUCAGUGAAGAUGAUAAUAGCUCACGAAGUGUUGCUGAAUCCAGAAAAGAAGAAGAAGCUGGGCAAGCUGGUUCUGCAGCAGAUAAUAUCGAAUUUUCAGAAAGAAUUGAGGAUAGUCGGCCAGAUAACGUUGUCGUAUCAAUCAAAGAAGGAGGUAGCCGACCUCUCAGUUCCUCAGAGCUAACAAAGCAGGAAGGAAGCAGACCCACGAUUUCGGAAGUGGACAAUGGAGACGUCUCUGAAGAACCUGCACGAAGUCGACCAACUAGCUCUGUAGAGUCAGCAGAAGAAGAAGGAAAUGUCGCGGCAGAAAAUACAGAAUUUGAAAAACCUGCAGAAAUUUCGUCACUUAACGCCAAUGAAUUAGAAGAUAGUGGAAGCAGGCCCGACAUUUUGUUAGCCGAUACCAUAGAACACUCUAAAGAAAAUGCAGGAAGCAGGCCUGUUAGUGUUACAGAAUAUACCGCAGAAGAUGGAACUCGACCAGUCAACGAUUCACAGUUGAUCAAGGAAGAAGGAAAUGCUGUAUUAGGAGAAGUAGAAAUGUCACAAGACACUAUAGGAAGUCCGCUAAUAAAAGCUGAUGAAUUAGAAGCUGGUGGAAGAAUUCCCGAAAAUUCAACGGUUGGUUCCUUACAGAACUCUGUAGAGACAGCAGAUAUUCUCCCUGUCAAUGUGGCAGAGCCUACCAAAGAAGUAGAAAUUCGACCACUAAGUGCAACAGAAUCCAAUAAAGGAAACGAAGCGAGGCCUGUUAGUUCCACAGUCGAUGAUGUCAACAUCACAGAAGGACCCGCAAGAAGUAUACUGGUUACUGCUGAUGAAUCAACAGAAGAGGAAGGUAACCGACCGGCUAGUACUACUGAUAAAAAUCUAGAGGAAGGAAGACCGAUGGGUGCCGCAAUCUACGGAAAAUAUGAAGAAAGCGAACAAAAUUCUGUUGCAGGGGAUGAAGUUCCAGAGAAGCCUGUGGAAUAUCGGCCGGUAUGUAACACAACUGAAGAAAAGGGUAAUCGCUUAGUUGAAGCUAAAAAUCCUACAAAAAAUAAUGAAAGCAAAACACUCACUGUUUCUGAGGUCGUGAAGAUGGAAGAAACUGAGUCAUCGACAGUAGAAAGCGUAGAUGUUUCUGAAGAUCGUUUAGGAAACCAACCAAUUAGUCUUGCUUAUACCACAGAAGGGGAAGAAACUCUACCAGACACUGCUGCAAUUCCAACAGAAGAAACGAAAAGUCGACCAACCAGUUCUACAGUAGAGGAAGCAGUAGUCGUUGAGCCGGGAGAAAGUCAGACAUUAGCCAAAGAAGAAAACAUACCUGAAAGCGCAGUAGAAUCUACCGAAGAAGUAAGCACGUCGGCCAGUGGCGUUGGAACUACCAAGGAAGAUAAAAACAUAUCUGCUAGUACAGCCGAAUCUGCCAAAGAGGGGGGAGGAAAUAGGCCACUUAGUUCUACAGAUCUGACAGAGCAGGAAGGGAGUAGGCCAUCUAGUGCAGCAAGUGCGGUAAAGGAAGAAGGAAGUCGGCCAACUAGCGCUUCAGAACCAAAGAAAGACGAACUAAGUAGUUCAGUAAGUGCUGAAAACUCCACGAGGGACGAAGAAAUAAAAUCUGCGAAAGAAGAAUGCAAUAGAUCAGCAAUUACACUAGGUUUCACAGAAGAAGAAAGCAGACCAGACAGUACUGUAGAAUGGAACAAAGCUUCUGGUUCAACCAGAGAUGAAGGAAGUAGACCAUCGAGUGUUGUGGCAGAAGCGGCAGAUCUUACAGAAACAUUACACAAAAUACGAGACAGCGCUCCUGAUUCAUUUACAGAGCAGGGAAGUAUACCAGAAAGUUCUGCAACAGAAAAUGCCGACAAUUCAGCAGAAUUAGAAGGGACAAGGCCAGUAAAUGCUACAGAAUCAGCAGAAGAAGGCUAUCGACCAGUGAGCUCUGUAACGGUUGAGAAAUCUUCAUCUGCAGAACUAGGAGAGCCCGAGGUUGAAAAUGAAAGUACAGAAGUGUCUGCAGAACCAAGAGAAGAGGUUCAGACCGCCAAAUAUCCGACGGUCCCUGCAGAUACAGAACAAGAAACUGUGAACACUGCAAGUCAGCCAUUAUCAAGUCUUCUUCUUUCAACUGGGAUCCAAGAAAAAUCGGAAGAUGGAACUGCUACAGGCGAGGCAGGCAAUGAUAGCAGACCGCCCACUGCUUCGCCGUCUGUUGGAGCGGAGACUGUGGCGGAAGCCAGUGAACAAGAAGGGUCUUCAUCCAACGCAGUAAGAGGAACAACGGAGACGGAAUCGCCUGCCUACUCAGUCAAUGCUCAAACUGAUGAUAUCCCUUCACUGACAGGGACUGACGCCGCUGUCGAACCUGCUCUAGAAGAUAAGCUAACAGAGGACGAAGAAAAGCCAGCAACAGAGACAGACACAGCUGAGGAAGAGGCUAAGGAGUUAAACCGGGCUGCUACAACAAUUCAAGCAACAUUCAGAGGUUAUCAGGCGAGACAGACUUUGAGUAAAACUGCUGAGAAUAAUGAGGUGCCUGAAUCAGUGACGUCACAUGACUUCCUGUUCGGCCCUCCGGUGCAGCAGUCGGUUGGCAAGGGGACCAGGAAUCGAGAGACGGGAGAGGAUCAACAAGCUGAUAGCGAACUAGCAGAGUUGCAGAAACCACAAGAAUGCGAUGAAAUUCAUGCAACACAAGAAGGCGUCUCUAACGACGCCUCAGACCCUGAUUCGUCGGCGUCAUCCGCAGCUACAAAGAUUCAAGCUGGGGUACGUGGAUUUUUGACGAGGCGUCAUGUCCAUAAUAUGAAGGCCAGCAAUUCCACAACAGCUCCAUCCAUUGGUAAUAGUCAGAAAUCUCUUGGAGAUCCUCUUACGUCUCAGGAAGUCGAGGACGAGGGUGUUCAUACUUCUGGUUCAAUGGAGACAGAAGUUCAGAAACAGCAACAGGAAACCUUGAAUGACGAAUCUCAAGAAGCUCCAUUCACAACUGAGAAAGUUGGGGUAAAGAGGGAGUUGUCUUUAGACAGUCAGCUGGACGAGAAAGUUCAGAGGCCUGCAGGGUCGAGGACCGCUGUCUCCCUACAGUUGGACGGACCGGUAAACGAAGAUGAGGACCGACAAGUGUGGCAGACCUUACAGCAAGAGGAGCUGGACGAGGCAGCUAUCAAGAUUCAGUCCAACUAUCGUGGCUAUCGGAUGAGGAGGAGUCUCAAGCGGGAGGACGCUGUUCAGAUGCCUACUACUAGCACCAGUACGUUCACAGCGUCCAGUGACGUCAUUCCAGUUUCCGUUAGGCACUCCGGAGAGUUCCAUGAUAUGAUAGUACUCCCACCGUCAACAGAAGAGGAUCUCACUGACGCAAGUGCUCAAAAUCACGUGGCCACCGCGUCCAGUACGCCUCUGCAGCCAAGCGAUGACGUCACAUCACCAGCUGGUAACCAGGAAACGGAUAUGACGGAGGCGAGCCAAGGCGGUGAAGCCAAGAUGGACGGGAAUGGAGAAGUUACUGCUGCAGAAGCUGCAACAAAGAUUCAAGCAUCGUACCGUGGUUUCAGAACGCGUCAAGAUAUUAAAACGGCCAAUACAGCUGCAUCUAAGAUUCAGGCUGGAUUCAGAGGUUAUAAAGUUCGUAAACAGUUACGAGAAAAUACCGAGGAUAAAAAGAAUGGUCCACGAAACCAAGGUUCGCGCCCACAGUCUGUUAACCAGAAGGAGGAGGUGGAGGCAACCAAUCAAACUCCAGCAGGCGAUGUAGAAGAAAGAUCAGCAACGAAGAUCCAGGCGAGUGUGAGGGGCUAUCUGGUGAGAAAGAGACGGCAGGUUGAGCGUGAUGCUGCCGUUAAAAUACAGGCUGGUUUUCGGGGUUACCAAGCGCGUCGCGGGUUGAAGGCACGACAACAGCAACAACAGAAGUGAGGCGUCAGAUUCAUAUUCUUACGGAACGGUUUGUUGUGAUCUGUGUAAAGACAUAGGACAACAAAGCUUUUGGGGUGACCUUUUAUGUGCUGGGUAGAACGUCGCGAACUGAUUUCAAGUUAGAAAUUGUAUCUGAAUGUGUUCCUUUCGUUUCCUAUUGUUCAUCUACUCCGAUUAUAACAUCCAAAUAUUGUCCUCAGUGCCUUCAUCUCAGACUGCUUCUAUCUCGUGCGUUCUUCCUCAGAGUGAGGCACGAAGCUUCAUGUCCAUGUAAAACAAUAAGCAAAGGAGGCUGUGUGAGAUUUGCCCGCUUCGAACUACUCUUCAAGCUGAAGGCUAUCAUUCUGCAUAACUCUAUUGUUUGGGUUCUUAGGCAGAGGCUGGAAGAGAUUCUGUGCUCCGAAUUUAAUCUGCUCUUGUAUAUUGAUUCACGAAUGUAAUUUAUGAAUUGUUCCUGUCAUUCCCAAAUAUUUGAACAUUUUCGAAGCAUUUAUUAUUUUGUCCUCUAUUGUAGUGAAGAAACAUGAAUAUACGAGUAUAUUAUUUAUUUCGUUUUCUCAGCGUUUAUCUCUAGACCACCUUUCUUACCAGUUUAUUUGUUUUUCUAUAGGAUAUUUAUGUAUUUGUCUAAUAAAUUAAGAUCAGCAUGGGCGAGAAGCUGAUAUUUUCCUUUGAA